rnacentral:rRNA from 1 species
UACAUGCAAGUCGAACGAUAGUUGGGGUUUACUUCAACGAAAAGUGGCGCACGGGUGCGUAACGCGUAUGCAACCUACCUUAUUCAGGGGGAUAGCCCGAAGAAAUUCGGAUUAACACCGCAUAAAAUCACAGCUCAGCAUUGAGUAAUGAUCAAAUAUUUAUAGGAAUAAGAUGGGCAUGCGUGUCAUUAGCUAGUUGGCGGGGUAACGGCCCACCAAGGCGACGAUGACUAGGGGAUCUGAGAGGAUGACCCCCCACACUGGUACUGAGACACGGACCAGACUCCUACGGGAGGCAGCAGUAAGGAAUAUUGGUCAAUGGAGGCAACUCUGAACCAGCCAUGCCGCGUGCAGGAAGACAGCCCUCUGGGUCGUAAACUGCCUUUUAUUCGGGGAUAAACCUUCUACGUGUAGAGAGCUGAAUGUACCGGAGGAUUAGGAUCGGCUAACUCCGU